rnacentral:lncRNA from 1 species
GUAGCAUUUUCAGCAGGAGUUGGGGACCAGCACGGUAUUUCAUCAGAGAUGCUAUUAACAUCUGUUUAUUUGCAGUUCAUGGUUUAAAUCUCAGUGGGAGCUCAUCUGCCAAGCGGAAGGGUUUCAAAUAAGAUCAAGUGAGAAAUAUACUCUGCUCCAUCCCAGGUCAUGGAGGACAUAUUUUCAUUGUGUCUUUGUUAUUUGUCCUCAAGCUAAAGUACAAAGUCAUCUGGGCUGAAAAACACAUGUUGUUUAUUGUGCAUGAGAGAUGGAUAUACUGUGUGUGGGAGGUAGCAUGACCAUUUGCCUUCUCUCUUCAAGACAAUGGUAAUGCCUGCAAUGAGUCCUGCUCUGAAGAGAAAUCACCUUACUGUAACUUCACCUGUACUGCGGGUCAAUCAUUUCUGCUGAGCUGCAGUUGGUUUUUCCACUGAAGAAGAAACAAACAGACAAAGAAACCCUGCUUAUGGGAUUGACUGAUACUGAGCUGGCCAGGUGGCAACUUCAGUUUGACCAGAGUAUUUAACAUUUUGGGAGCUAAAGUUCCCUUUGCUCUGAGUGUAAAGGUCUGAAGUUUUUUCAUUUCCUCUAGAUUAGGACGGAGUAGUGUUGUGGGUUUUUUUGUUAUUUCUAUGCAUUGGGAAGUGGCUGUUCUAAGGUAGCUGAAAUGGAGCUAAGCACUACUGCUAAUAUUUGCCUUUCAGCAGGUUUGACGGUGACCUUCCUUCCCCAGUUCACCCAAAUGAAAUUAGAAGAUGGAAAGGAAAAAGUUUGCAGCUGGGAUAAAUUGAACUAUUUUGGGAGAAAUGUAAUGCCCCCUAAUUUCAGACUUAGCCUUCCUUCUGGCUUGAUGUUGAAUGCUAUCACUACAGAUAGGCUUGUGGGAGACUGGGAAGAUGCUGCCAUGUGGCUCCACUUCAUUAGGCAACUAUCCUUGCUAGAGGGCAAGAUGGGAGCUUUGAGGCAGGAUUCUUCCUUGAGGGUUGAGUUGUCACAUGUAAGUGUAUUUGAAGACACUUCUAUCUGGUGUGAAUAGAGAUUAUUAUCCUUCCAGAUGUGAGGCUUUUAAAGGUUUUAUAAGUUUUUGUGAGAAAGAAGUUAUGUAGAAUGUAUUGGGACUGAUACUUGCACAUACAUGUACAUGUGGUAGGCACAAUGCCCAGAGAGAUAGUAGAAACUCCAUCUUUGUAACCAUUCAAGGUCAGGCUGGACAAGGCUUUGAGAAACCUGAUCUAGCAGUAGAUGUUCUUGUUCAUUGGAGGGGAGCUGGACUACAGAUGACUUUUAAGGUUCCCUUCCAACUGGAAAGAUUCUAUGAUAACUAAUACAACUCUCACUAAGGCAAUAUAUUGACUAAAUAACUGUAUCUGACUAGGUAGCUGGACUGCUCCCUGGUGUAACUUGGCUAAAACAACAGAUUCUUUUCUGUCUGUGCCCACGCCAUAUGGUACAGGUAGAUCAGCAUGUUAAAAGUGUUACGCCCUGAACCAACAUAUCUAUGUAAGUGGGAUCUUUAAUUGCAGACUAUGGCCAAAGGACUAAUCUUUUUAAUACUUAACUAUGAACAGGUGUCAUUUCUGCUACUUCCCAAAAUAAACUUAUUUUUUGAGGGGUGAUUUAUGUUCA